rnacentral:lncRNA from 12 species
CCCCCCCCCCCCCCCCCCCCCCCCCCCCCCCCCCCCCCCCCCCCCCCCCCCGCGCGAGGGGGAGGGGGGGCGCGAGGGGGAGGGCGGGGCGCGCAGGCCUGGGCAGGGUGUCUCACCCCUGCCUGUUCACCCAGGACCUGUCUAAGUCGCAGUGGUGUUGAUGCUAGACCCCCGCACGGACACAGCCUUUGCAAAUGACCCGGAAGAGAGAGGAACAGAUAGAAGUCGUUAAGAUUGCAGAGGCACUACAGGAGCAACAGCAAGGGUACAAAGCAGGUCCAGCACUUCUGGGAUGGGAAUCCAUGAAGACAACCUUGGGGAGAUGGAAGAUGGAGAACUGGAUUCCUUUGGUGCCACAAAAUCAAUAAUAAAUGUGUCAUACAUACCCGGUACUAAUCAGGGUGUUAUUUAUACAAAUAGCAGUGAUUGCUAGAAUCUUUUUUCAAAGGCAAAAUAGAGGAGCCGUCUUUUUGCAGGGGUGCCUGGGGAAAGGACA